rnacentral:rRNA from 1 species
CCUACGGGUGGCAGCAGUGGGGAAUAUUGCACAAUGGGGGGAACCCUGAUGCAGCGACGCCGCGUGAGUGAAGAAGUAUUUCGGUAUGUAAAGCUCUAUCAGCAGGGAAGCAAAUGACGGUACCUGACUAAGAAGCCCCGUCUAACUACGUGCCAGCAGCCGCGGUAAUACGUAGGGGGCAAGCGUUAUCCGGAUUUACUGGGUGUAAAGGGGGCGCAGACGGCUGUGCAAGUCUGGAGUGAAAGGCGGGGGCCCAACCCCCGGACUGCUCUUGAAACUGUAAAGCUGGAGUGCAGGAGAGGUAAGCGGAAUUCGUAGUGUAGCGGUGAAAUGCGUAGAUAUUAGGAGGAACACCAGUGGCGAAGGCGGCUUACUGGACUGCAACUGACGUUGAGGCUCGAAAGCGUGGGGAGCAAACAGGAUUAGAUACCCCUGUAGUC